GCAUCGGUGGUUCAGUGGUAGAAUGCUCGCUUGCCACGCGGGCGCCCAGGGUUCGAUUCCCGGCCGAUGCA
rnacentral:tRNA from 1 species